UACGGGGGGGGGCAAGCGUUGUUCAGAAUUACUGGGCGUAAAGGGCUCGUAGGCGGCCAACUAAGUCGGAUGUGAAAUCCCCAGGCUUAACCUGGGAACUGCAUCCGAUACUGGAUGGCUUGAAUUCGGGAGAGGGAUGCAGAAUUCCAGGUGUAGCGGUGAAAUGCGUAGAUAUCUGGAGGAAUACCGGUGGCGAAGGCGGCAUCCUGGACCGACAUUGACGCUGAGGAGCGAAAGCUAGGGGAGCAAACGGGG
rnacentral:rRNA from 1 species